UGUCGAGAUGUCCGUCGGUUACACUGAUUGACGGUACCCUAGGGCGGAUCGUAACAUAGCCGAUGAAGAUGACGAUGCCUGCUACGAUUACUGCAAGAGCUAUGGUGGCGCAGAUUAUGCCGGCGAUCCAAAUUAGAGGAUGAAGCUCAAUUUUAGGGAGAAACACUGAGGAAGGAAUGCAUGAUUAUCAAAAAGUUGCAGCGAUGGGCGGAGAAGGUUUUGGCGAACAGUGGGCAGUCGAAGUCGGUUUUCUGACCAAACCGCCCUCGAACCGACCACAUGUCGGCACAUAAGUUAUAAAAUCGACUUUAAUCGUUGUUUCCAACAAACCAGUCGAUCCGACAGUCAGUCGAUUUUGGUUGGUAUUUUUUUCUCUUUCUUCUUCUUUUUUCCUUUCUAUGUUUUUUCCUUUCUUUUCUUUUCCUCCAUUUCUUUUUCCUCCUUUUUUUCUUUUUCUUUUCCUUUUUUCCUUUGUUUUUUAAAAUGUGAAAUAUAUAGAUUCAAUUUAUUUUUCCUUUGACCUUUGAAUUUCUUUUUACAAAUAUUAUGAAUUGUGGUUUAUG